rnacentral:rRNA from 1 species
UACGUAGGGGGCAAGCGUUGUCCGGAUUUAUUGGGCGUAAAGAGCUCGUAGGUGGUUCGGUAAGUCGGAUGUGAAAUCUCCAGGCUCAACCUGGAGGGGUCAUUCGAUACUGCCGUGACUAGAGGUCGGUAGGGGAGUGUGGAAUUCCUGGUGGAGUGGUGAAAUGCGUAGAGAUCAGGAAGAACACCCGUGGCGAAGGCGGCCCACUGGGCCGGUACUGACGCUGAGGCGCGAAGGCGUGGGGAGCGAACGGG